GAAAUUGCUUCUACAAAUUGUAUCCAAUGUACCUGAUAAGAAGGUUAUCAACGACUUUUUCCGUUGACACCGGACAGGAAGGAAUUUGUGAACAAUGGGAUACAUGGUGUGUGGAUGUAUCUUUAUAUUUCGAAAGAAUUAACAGUUUUAUUCAGAUAACAAAAGUAAAUCAGUCACGCAAUAAAUAACGAACUAACAAAGGAAAUAAGUUCUGCAAACAAGGAGCUUGUAUCAGAAACAAGCCAACAAAAUCUGUGGCUUUCAUGCUAACAAUCUGGCCGCACAAUCUUCACCAUUAGUACUCUAUAGCUUAGCCAUCCAUCUGAGAAUAUUGCUCUAUAGCUUAUUCAUGCUAGGUGCGAUAAGUAAUAAAGUAACGAGUGCUUGAGCCUACAUACAUGAGCACAUUUCAUAAAUCUGAUUUGCUCAUGUAUGUAAAUGUGUUUUCCUGUAAACAACUGUAAAUCUGAUCUUUAGCUUGCAGCCUACCAACAUCUUAAUGUAUCCUUUUGGCCCUCUUAGUUGUUGGUUUAAGUUGAUAGGACGGGUUUUCAGGAAAUAACAAUUGUUUAACUGUACAUAUACUAAGUUUGUUGGGUUUAUUUAAACCAAUAAGGUCAAUAAUAUUGCUACUUGUCCAAGUAUCAUCCGUUUAGUUGUGGGCCUAUAGUACUUUCUCGGUCUUAAUAUAAUGGUCACAUGCUCAUUCAUAUGAAUUUUAAUUCGAGAUAUUAAGCUAAUUAAAAAGAAACAGAACUCUAAUGGAUUUUUAGUUAUAUUACAGAAAUCAUAGUUAUGAUAAAUUAGGAUAAUGUGACAGCUGAUUGCGGACUAAGGAGAUCACCAAAUCAGACAAACUAAUGAUGCUAAGUGUUGACCUACUGGAGCUGUAUGGAUUAGGAGCAAGAAAGAUUGGGGCAACUUCACUUCCCCAUUAGGCUGUGUACCUGCAACCAUCACUCUAUUUGGGUUUCAUCAAGGUGGGUGUGUUUCAAGGCUCAACUGAGACGCGCAAGGAUUCAAUAGGAAGCUCAAUGCUGCUGCCAAUAAGCUGUCUAAGAAGCUCCAUGACCUUAACCUUGUUAUUUUCGACAUUUACAAGCCUCUCUAUGAUUUAGUACAAUAUCCCUCUAAAUCAAGAUUUUCUGAGUCCAGGAAGGGAUGAUGUGGGACAGGAACUAUAGAGACAACAUCACUUCUAUGCAAUCCAAAGUCUGUAGGAACAUGCAGCAACGCCACUCAGUACGUGUUUUAGGACAGUGUGCAUCCUCAGAAGCUGCAAACCAGGUUCUCGCCAAUGCCCUCUUAGUUCAAGGGAUCGCACUAAUCGGUUAAAUGUGUUCAAGCCUCUUUUCUUCUACCAAGCUUGUAUACUACAGACAGAAUAUUAAUUAUUGCAUUCUUGCAAAAGAAUUUAUCCUAUAGCUUUCUAUUUCAGUGUAUUUGUUCUCAAAAUGUAAGACCUCUGUUGUUCCAAGGAGAUCAGUAUGUAAUCAAAUAUAGUAUGAUACUACAUGUCAACAUCGUCUGUUAGUUCGUCAUAUGUAACUACUAUGAGUCUACAGAACUUAUAUUAUCAUUUUUUAGCAUAAAUUUUGAAGUAUUCA